GAUGAACGCUGGCGGCGUGCCUAACACAUGCAAGUCGAGCGAUCUUCUUCGGAAGAGAGCGGCGGACGGGUGAGUAACGCGUGGGUAACCUGCCCUGUACACACGGAUAACAUACCGAAAGGUAUGCUAAUACGAGAUACUAUGCUUUUAUCGCAUGGUAGAAGUAUCAAAGCUCCGGCGGUACAGGAUGGACCCGCGUCUGAUUAGCUAGUUGGUAGGGUAAGGGCUUACCAAGGCGACGAUCAGUGGCCGACCUGAGAGGGUGAUCGGCCAAAUUGGAACUGGGACACGGUCCAAACUCCUACGGGAGGCAGCAGUGGGGAAUAUUGCACGGUGGGCGAAAGCCUGAUGCAGCAACGCCGCGUGAGCGAUGAAGGCCUUCGGGUCGUAAAGCUCUGUCCUCAAGGAAGAUAAUGACGGUACUUGAGGAGGAAGCCCCGGCUAACUACGUGCCAGCCGCCGCCGUAA
rnacentral:rRNA from 1 species